GCUGAGGGGCCAGAAACUUCAAAGUAAUAACUCAGGUUAAAGCAGGAAACUAAGCUGAACCAUAACGAGGUGCCAGCAGCACCUCUAGAAGAAUAGGGGUGA